rnacentral:rRNA from 1 species
UGGGAAUUUUGGACGAAUUGGGCGAAAGCCUGAAUCCAGCAAUGCCGCGUGUGUGAAGAAGGCCUUCGGGUUGUAAAGCACUUUUGUCCGGAAAGAAAUCCUUGGCUCUAAUACAGUCGGGGGAGUGACGGUACCGGAAGAAUAAGCACCGGCUAACUACGUGCCAGCAGCCGCGGUAAUACGUAGGGUGCAAGCGUUAAUCGGAAUUACUGGGCGUAAAGCGUGCGCAGGCGGUUUGCUAAGACCGAUGUGAAAUCCCCGGGCUCAACCUGGGAACUGCAUUGGUGACUGGCAGGCUAGAGUAUGGCAGAGGGGGGUAGAAUUCCACGUGUAGCAGUGAAAUGCGUAGAGAUGUGGAGGAAUACCGAUGGCGAAGGCAGCCCCCUGGCAAGUACUGACGCUCAUGCACG